rnacentral:rRNA from 1 species
GACGAACGCUGGCGGCGUGCUUAACACAUGCAAGUCGAACGGAAAGGCCCUGCUUUUGUGGGGUGCUCGAGUGGCGAACGGGUGAGUAACACGUGAGUAACCUGCCCUUGACUUUGGGAUAACUUCAGGAAACUGGGGCUAAUACCGGAUAGGAGCUCCUGCUGCAUGGUGGGGGUUGGAAAGUUUCGGCGGUUGGGGAUGGACUCGCGGCUUAUCAGCUUGUUGGUGGGGUAGUGGCUUACCAAGGCUUUGACGGGUAGCCGGCCUGAGAGGGUGACCGGGCACAUUGGGACUGAGAGACGGCGCAGACGCCUACGGUAGGCAGCAGUGGGGAAUAUUGCACAAUGGGCGGAAGCCGGAGGCAGAAACGUCGCGUGCGGGAUGACGGUCUUCUGGUUGUAAACCGCUUUCGCCUGUGACGAAGCGGGAGUGACGGUAAUGGGUAAAGAAGCACCGGCUAACUACGUG